rnacentral:rRNA from 1 species
UACGUAGGGUGCGAGCGUGUCCGGAUUUAUUGGGCGUAAAGAGCUCGUAGGCGGCUUGUCGCGUCGGAUGUGAAAGCCCGGGGCUAACUCCGGGUCUGCAUUCGAUACGGGCAGGCUAGAGUGUGGUAGGGGAGAUCGGAAUUCCUGGUGUAGCGGUGAAAUGCGCAGAUAUCAGGAAGAACACCCGUGGCGAAGGCGGCUUUCUGGGACGGUACUGACGCUGAGACGCGAAAGCGUGGGGAGCGAACAGG